rnacentral:rRNA from 1 species
ACGCUCGACACCUACGGGGCAGCAGUUGGGAAUAUUGGACAAUGGAGGAAACUCUGAUCCAGUGACGCCGCGUGAAGGAAGAAGGUCUUCGGAUUGUAAACUUAUUUUGUCAGGGAAGAAAAAUGACUGUACCUGAAGAAAAAGCACCGGCUAACUACGUGCAGCAGCCGCGGUAAUCUGAGGCGGGCUGGCAAGGC